GGAGUCACAUCCGAUGUUCUUGAAGGGGAACUCUGCCGACACCUCUACCGUCGUGGUCGCUGCCCUGUUUAAGAAAACAAUUAUCCAGUCAGAUUGUGUGACGCACCCGGAAGUUUAACUGAAACGUUUAUGUGUUGUUUAUUAACAAAAAUGUCAAAAACCGAGUGUAGAGCAGCGCAAGACAUGACCGAGGCGAUGGAGACCACGAUGCAGCGGCUUCAGGGCAGAUUCCAGGCAAUCUCUGAACAGCUGGAGUCUAAAAAUAUCCUUUCUGUAGUAGAUUUCCGCCUCUUUGAGGAUUUCUUCAACUUUCACACUCGAUCAGAUGGGGACCCGCAUUGGUGACCUGGAGAAAAACGUCGCUGAGCUGAUGACACAAGCAGGGAUGGAGGAGCAGCCCAGCUCAAAGUGAAAACCGGUUUCUGUCAGGACUUUUUCCAUGAAAAUGGGACUUCUGAGUAGAGCCAGAUGUUUUCCCAGGUGCUUUUGUUUUUAAAGCAUAUCCAGUCAGUUUACAGCCAAACAAAAAGUCAAAGGGCUCCAUGUGGAGAUUAAGUAUAAACAAACAUGUCUGUUUUAUAUCAUGUCUCUCAUGGAAAAAAAAAAAUAUUUGCACCCUUAAAGCACCUCCUACCUCAUAAAAUGGCCACCUGUACAAAAUAUUACUGCCUAAUGGAGCGUCAAAAAGCAUAAAACAGUCAUUAUUUUCUCAAGUUUUAUAAGAUAUGUUCAUUUACAGGACUUGUUUUUUGUAGCGGUGGUUAACUUAGAGUUAAAUUAAAACCUCAGUCAUGAUUGAAUUUAAUAUUUAUUAAGGGUAGAUCAUUAAUGUUUUUAUAGACCUUGAGCUGAGUCUCAUUAAAUAACCUCUGAGUUUUUAUCUAAAACCUAAAGAACAUGUUUACCCUUCCUGUCCUUUACAGACACAUUGAUGUCUUCUUUGCAUCAAUAUUCAUACUGAACACUAAAACACGGGUGCACACAGAGAGCAGGAUUCAUAUUCUGGUAGUUACUCGCAUGAAGAAGUGGACAAGCGUUCUCCAAAGACACAUCCAACCCACAGUUUUUCAUACAUCUAAUGGGAUGGACCAACCAGGAAAAGGACAGAUAGACAUGAGUAAAAUAGAAAAAAAGGGUUUUUAUUAACCUAAAAUAUGAUCCAACUCGAUUCAUGCAGAAUUUAACAACAAAAAAAGUCUCAAAAGAGGUGAAAGUAACACAAACCUAUUUAAAAUAACUAAUAAGAUACUACCUCGCCUAACUCACUGAGAGAAAAAGAGAACGCAAAUUUUUGACCGAUCAGUCCACAAAAUACAAAAAGGAGAAGAAAACAAAAAAUAAACAGAUGAACCUGCACAUCUAAAAUAAAUAAUUAUAAUAUUAAAGUGUCAGGUAUGAUAAGCUAAACAGCAGCUAUGAGGUUGUAUUAAUCCAUUUGUUUGGCUGCAGAUUCAUGUAUUACUUAUGGGACCCUGUCACACACUUUGCUACACACACAUACUUCUGUGUGUGUGUUGGGAUAAAAAGUCAAAUCUUAUCACCACAGAAAAAGUGUUUAACAUGUUUGUUAGAAAGCUGGUGGAGGUUAGCUUGUAGGUUGGUGUGUCCUGAUUCAGGAAGUUAUUUAUGAUCAGGGAAUGAUGCUAAAAAUGUGUUUUUACGCACUUUUCCUGCCAAGUUGAUCAAACAUUUAGCAGCUAAUAGAAUAUAAAUGUUACCAAACAGUCUUUUUGGUCAGAUGUUUACUCAGAAAAGUUCAUUUUACUUUGAUUUGGUGAAAAACUGAAAGGAUAUCUAUGUUUUUGUUUUAUGCAAAGGUCAGAUGUACAAUAUAAACUUUGAAUGGCAUAAAUGAUUUAAAUAAUUUAGAGAAAUAUAAUUUUAUUAAAUAAUUUAGUGUGAAUGAACACACUGAUAUUUAAUCGAAGUGGAAAUAUUCUGACAUCACACCCAUCAUCCCUUACUUGGAUGGAUCCAGAUAACAUAAAAAACAUUGGAAAUACUUCAUAGUACACUUAUUGUUCCUGUUGUUCACCUUGUGUGAAAGAGGAGAGUUUAAAUGCAUUAAAUCGAUUAAACCAUCGAUAAAAUCUAUGCAGUUAAUUAUAGAGCUGGAUGUUUUAUCAUGAGUCAUCUCGGUUUAUUCAGUACACUCUGUUUUCCUCCUGCCUGUGUUACCAAAGAUUAUCUUUAAAAUGCCAAAUAAAGACUUUUUUAUUUAAAAAUAUA